rnacentral:rRNA from 1 species
CUGAUGUUAGCGGCGGACGGGUGAGUAACACGUGGAUAACCUACCUAUAAGACUGGGAUAACUUCGGGAAACCGGAGCUAAUACCGGAUAAUAUUUUGAACCGCAUGGUUCAAAAGUAAAAGACGGUCUUGCUGUCACUUAUAGAUGGAUCCGCGCUGCAUUAGCUAGUUGGUAAGGUAACGGCUUACCAAGGCAACGACGCAUAGCCGACCUGAGAGGGUGGUCGGCCACACUGGAACUUAGACACGGUCCAG